AGUACUUUGCUUUUCGUACCAUUGUCUCUGUUUUUCCUAGGUGCUUUAUGUUGAAGGUAUUGUGGGCGUUAACUUGCAGGGUAAGGGUACAGAAGAGAGAGAGGGAAGGGUUGGGAGGUAGGAGAUUAUGUCACGUACAUAUUUUGGCCUUUUCUUUAGUGGUGUGAUAGUUGUACCUCUAUAAAGAUGCGUUAAUAAGUUUUAAAACAGAACUUUUAAAGUAUGUCAGAUUG